ACACACUCCCUCCUGCUGCCUUGUGAAAAAGGUGCCUGCUUUCCCUUUGCUUUCCGCCACGAUUGUUAAGUUUUCUGAGGCCUCCUAGCCACACUUCCUGGGUUUUUGUCCCUCUCUUAAAGUGAAUGUUCACAGAGCCAUGAGCCGAUGGAAGAUGCAGGUGGAGGCAUCUUCCCUGUCACCAUUGGUAUGUCUGGUUGAAACCUGCAACAAGGAAUCAGUCUUCAUGCAACUCUCAGCAACCUCUGCCGAGAUCUCUGUGGAAGCAUUGUUCGCAAGAGCAGAUAAUCAGAAACCACCCAAAAAAUCAUAAAGAAGACAUUGGGCAAAUCAAUAAUGGUAUGCUGAGAUUUGGAUUGCCAAAUUGACGUUGAAGUGAAGGAGGCAGAUUUGCUUGUGGUAACAGUGAAAGUGAUACAAGAUCUACUUGAAGUGCAGAAUAUCCCAUUCACCGUGAGACGUUGGUAAAUAAUGUUUUCGUUUUGUGCAGCAUGCCUGCAGUUGUGUAAAGAAUGUAACAGGGAAAUGUCUCAAAACAGAAGAAGACACCUGUGGGCAGCACGUUCUGGACAGUGAUCCUGGGAGCUGGAAAGAAGACUCACUUUUCACUUUACAACCUUGGGCACUCAUUUUGGUGGCAGUCAUUUUAGGAAGGAAGAUAUGAAGGCAGAGAAGACAAGGCCCCCACUUCCAGGACAGGAUCCUCAGAAUCUAAUGGGGAAGCCCAUGGGAGCAGAUGCUGAGAAGAGGAGGUCACCCCGGAGCUGAGGAGGGCUCAAGAGACAGUGACUGACCUCACCUAGCUGCAUGUGUGCAGUGGGGGCAUGGCUGGGCAGCAGGGGGGGUCCAAGAAAAGGGACUAUCUAAGCUGGGCUUUGAAAGUCACAUGAACUUGGGUCAGAUGAGGAAGGCCAGGCAGGAACCUUGGCAUCCACCAGAGCAAACAAUGAAUGUUUCCAACUCAGCCAACCUAUUUGGCAGGAAUGAGAAAUUCACGAGCCAAAGGGAAGAGUGAAGGAAGGAGGCAUUCAGACUGGCAGACUAUGGGAGAGAUUUUAUGGUUUUUCAUGGAAGAAAUCACACCUUGUUUUAUUAUUUUUGAUUUUCAUUAUGUUUACAGAAAAAAAUCUCUACCCAUCUUCAGUCACAUGGCAACCAAAGACCCUGCUGCUCAGAGCAGUGAACUUUGUCUCCCCUCUUCCAAAGUAGCUUAUGAUGCUACAGGGUCCAGUCCAGGGCUGCCGGGAAGACAAUGCACAGUCUCUCUUAGACGCUGAAAUACAUUUCAGUGGCACAGCAGCAGGCCACCGAGAGCUUCUGGUAGGGCUUCUCAAACUUCUGUCAUUCAAGGUCCCAGUUAAUAUAGGGCAGUUGUAGUCAUAGCUGGAUUCCUGGAGGUAUGAACUUGGGCAAGUCACUUUCUCUCUCUGAAAAUCCAACAUCCCAAAGCAACCAACUUUCAGUAUUGGCACAAAGACUAAUGUGACAUUGUCCUACAUCAGUUUCCCAUCAUCAUCUUACAGCCCAAAUGCCUUAGGUUUAUCCUCUACGUGUCUGGGCAAUAUUCCCUGCCCAAGGACUUGUUGACAGCAGCCACCCAGGCUGCCCUCUGAUCUCUCGUUUCUCUUCUUCCUCCUAUAGUAUCGUUCAGAUCAGUCUUGCAUUGACUCCCAUAGCCACAGUCGUGGUUCAAUUUUCAUUCUCUCUCGCAUUUUCUCCCUGACUUGGUGUUUCCACACAUAGUGGAAGACAUCAAGGUCUUUUGAAAACACAGACCUGAUUAUGUCAACUCCUGUUUCUAAUUCCUCAAUGGCUCCCAGUUGCCCAAAGGCAAAUCACGACUACUCAUGAGAGUAUACAAAGGCCUUCCUGGCCAGCCUCUAUCUACUCAAUCAGCCUCAAUUCUAGAUUUUCCAAAUCCCCUAUUUUAUGCCCAACAGAUGUGAUUAUUAAUCAUUCCUAAAACCCACCACAUUUUCUCUUGCUUCCAUGCUUUUCACAGGCUGUUCCCACUGCCUGGAACCACGAUGCUUUCCAAACCCUCUGUUUAUCUAGAAGUAUUGUGCCUCCGUGGCACUUCUCCAGACACCUAUGUGCCCCGGCUGGGUUAGGUGACCCUGCUCUGUACUCCCUCUUGUAGUUGUCUGAGCUACCUCAGUCAUCAUAGUUAGCACAGAGCCUGGGCUCAGCUUUUUUCUGUACCCACUUCCUUUGUUGACCUAGAGUGGCCUAAGUGGUGCACACAGCACGGAGCAUGGUUAGAGAGAACAGAUGUGAGUCAAAUGAGAGAAUGUAUGUCUCUGGUGCUAACCCAGGGUAUGAGUGACAGCUCUUUGCCUGUGUUUCAGAUACAAUGUCCCUUGUCUGAGAGCUUCCACGGUAUGUGGAAAUGACCACCAUCACCUUCCACUAGGAGACUAUUUCUUCCAAUGCAAUUCCCAGACAUGUGGAACAACUGGGGCUUAACUUCUUUCCAUCACUAGAAUAUAAUGUAUUAUGGCUCUCCAAAAAAACAGAACCAAUAGGAAAGACAGAUAUAGAUACAGAUAUAGAUAUAGAUAUAAAUUAAUGGAAAAGUUGUGAGGAAUUGACUCAUGUGGUUGUGGAGGCUGAGAAUUCUCAUCAUCUUCUAUCCACCAGCUAGAGACCCAGGAAAGUGAGUGCUGUAAUUCCAGCCUGAGUCCAAAGGCCUGACAACCAGGGAAUUUGAUGCUAUAAGUCCCAGUCCAAGGGCAAGAGAAGACGAGAUGCCCCAGCUCAACCAGGCAUGCAGGAAGCAAAAGGGAUGAAUCUUUCCCUCCUUCCUCUGCCUUUUUGUUCUAUUCAGGCCCUCGAUGGACUGGAUGGUUUCCACCCACAUUGGGAAGGGCCAUCUGCUUUACUAAGUUCUCCCACUUGAAUGCUAGUCUCAUCCAGAAACAUCUGCACAGAUACACCUGGAAAAAAUUGGCGAAUCAGAGCAUUAACCCGUUGGCCCAGUCAAGUUGACACAAAAUUAAACCAUCACAGAAACUAUCUCUUCUGAAUAAAUAUAUUUCUCCUUUCCAUG